GGCAUAUUCCAAACAAAUUUGAACAGUCCUGGUAAAUUCAAACCAACAACCAGCCAAGAUUUAUAUUUGGUUUGAGUGAAACAUUUCAAGACAAAAGUUAGAGAUAAUGAAUAUAGUCAGCAUCCAACAGAAAAUUCUGUUUUGCCCUAGUGGUGCCUUGCUUCGCCAUGUUUACACUGUUCAGGUUUGAGACUGAACAUCUCUUUGGGGCAUCUCUUUGGAGUCUGAAAAGCUCAUUCCCUGAAAGAGAAAACAGGCAAAUAUUGCAACAUCCACAGGCACAAUGUGUGCAGGAGUGGGUUACUCUUGGCCUGAGUUGGCAUUCAUUUUCUGGGAUAAAGGAAGAACUUGUCUUCCUCACACACAAUUCACUCCGUGGUUUUGCUUCUGUCUUUCCCAGGACCCAGUGCUUCCUCUCGAUUGGAAACUGUUUCUGGCCGCAUGUAUGUGUUUUUCACCCUCCAGAGAGGAUAUUUGCUCCAUUGUGUCCAGGAUCAGCCAGACCAGGGACUUGAAAUGUGAACCUGUCUUCUGAACGUAAGUGGGACUGGAACCUUGUCAUCCCCAAUGAAGCAAAAGAUGAUACCAUGUCUAAGAACACUUCACCUGAUCAAUAAAAAAGGAGAAGUCUGAAAUGUGAUCCUAAAGCUCAGAGGGAGGUUUAGAUGGAGAUAAUGAAAUUCCCUGGAGACCUACCUGCCAGCUACACCUUUCUUGUUCAAGUCAUUGGCUGGAUGCCUCUGACCUCUGCCAAGUUCCUGAAGACAAGAUCAAGGCAACGAAGCAAGGCACAUAGACUCUGGCUUCUGGUUUCUUGUAGACACCAGCGCUAGCAAUGAUGAUCUUGCUUUAUCUAUACUACCUGAGAGUAUGGAAUUUACAUACAGAGCAUCCCCAGUAUAAGGCCAUGAUUUAAAGGGGGAUACACAGAAUGAGAUUUUAACUGCUGUUUGAUUCAGACUUGAGUGUAAUGAACAAAUUAGUUUUACAUUACAAAUUAGUGUAGUGGACAAAUAAAAGUUACAAAGACACACUUUCCCAUUCAAAACCUUGUGAUAUUUUUUCAGACAUGGGAGAAUCAGAAAUAACUGGUCUGUCAUUCUCUUUGUCUUCAUGAAGAGAGAGAGAGAGAGACAGGGAGAGAGGGGGGAAAGAAGGAGGGAGAUGGGGAAAAGAGAGAGAGAGAGAGAGAGAGAGAGAGAGAGAGAGAGAGAAGACCUCAGGGACAGUUAAAUAUAAAUAAUACAGCUGUAGACUCUAUUCUGAACCUACCUUGUAUGUUUUCCUUUUUACUCCCUCUCCAUUAUAGGUACCUGAAGGGGAAAAUCUGCCUUGGAGAAAUCAAGCUGAUAUUCAGGGGUGUCACUUCAUUUUAGUUAUUUGACAGCGUGAAGAAGUGUUUAAUUUUCUAAAUAACGUUACAAGCCAAACUAAAGGGAAAACAUGCGGUAUAAAGCUUUUCAACAUUGUCCGUCUUCUGACGGGUAAAGUCUUCUUGAGAAAGUACCUUUGCCCAGUAAUACUGCUCCUCAGCCAAGAGUUGUAAUGUCCAUGGACAUUAUAAGGAACUAUAAAUGUUAGAAGGCUAGAGGAAUACAUUUGGCAAGAUAAAGGAAAAUAUCUCAGGAUGUAAAGUAGUCUCUGACCCUUAAUUUUUCUUCAUGUUUUAUCAUGUAAAGAUGGCACUACUUAUAGUGACUGUUAAUGUAUUAACAUUUCCUUGAAAAUGGAUAUUAAUCUGCCAUGAGGUUUCCUUUGUAGGUAUGUUUUACUUAGCUGUAUGAUGAAGGGAGAGCAGGGUAAUAGAGAGAUAAUAAGCUUUUCAGAUGGGCGGAUCUACCACUUAGAAAGUACCCUUGGGCAAGACAUAUAAACUCUUCGGAACUCAACUAGAUUUACUCAAAUUUAAGAAUGAGAACAAUAGUAUAUACUUCGAAAUGUUUCAGAGAAAGGUCUAUCCUAAUGCCUGCAGUAUAAAUUCCAAUAAAGAUUCUUUAAUUUCAUUUUUCACCCUUUUUGAAUGAAGUGAUCUUGAUUAUAAAGUUGUUCUGAGGAGCUCUGAAAAGACCACUGUACCCAGUGUGAGGAAUUGUGUUCUGGUAACAGCUCUGCUUUUAACUGGGUGAUUUUAGGAAAAGUCACUUUCUGAGGUUUAGUUUGCUUAUCUGUUGAAUCUAAAGGUUGAAAUCUGAUUCUGUUCUGUGACUCUGUUAUUCUAAAUAUUUAAUGAAAUAGAACUUCAAUGUUAAGAAUAGUAGUAUGAUAACUAUACUAAGAAAAAUAAAUCAUUGUCAUUAUCAAACAAACAAAAAAUUGAUUCCUAAAUCCUAUAAUUAAUAGUUACAUUAUUUACUGUCGUGAGCUGAUAAAUAUAUAACUGAGAAGAAAUGGAUAACACACAUUUUGAGAACUGAAAUUCUAACAAAACUUCAACUUGUUUAUCACUUAAAAUGUAGCAUCAUGCAGAAUGCAUACAGUUUGCAAAAGAAACUUUGGAAAGAAAUAUGGUAGAUGUGCAUGUACAGAAGUCUAGGCUUCUACAAGUUUUAAAGUGUGAGUGUAAGGCCCACCUACUCAAAGAAAUUCAGGGGGAAACUCAACUUUUUUCUUUAAUCCUCACUGUUGUGUUUGAUAUAAUUUUCUAAGUAGAGACAUCAGUGAGAAAAAUGAGGAUGCUUCCAUGUUUGUGUAGAAAGAAACGUUUGCUAUCCAUUCCAGUGUCCCCAGUGUUAAACUGAUAGGCACCUUGGACUUAUUUUCUUCCCAUUGUAUAAACUCAUACUUGACUUCAAAGAAAAGGAAAAAUACAAAGUCCCUCUUUUCUAAGGGGCAGAAAUCCUUUGUGCAACUGGUUGACCCUUGGCUCUCUAAGGUCCUAUAGGAAAUCUUUUGUAACACAAUGCAGAGGACUCUUCCUUGUGUUGAUGUUGUUUACAUAGUUGGUGGGCCUGGCUGAAAACAAAAAUCACAUAAACUCAUGAAAGAUUAGGGUCCCAUUUCCUGACCACAAGGAAGGGGAUUGGUACAUCCAAGCAGUCUGUUACUCAGAAAAAUCAUUAAAUAUUCUACCAUGAGGGACACUUUGAAAAAUUGAGAGAAAGGAAGAAGGAAGAAAGCAGAAUCGAGACUUAUGUACAUUUGUGGCAGAGUAAGAGUUUAAAUCCAACAAGGGAUUUGCUUUGGGGAAUUUCCUGUCCAGCCCUUUAUUACCAGGGUCUUUGUAAAUUGUGCAGUGACGUUGGGCUCCCCUUUGGGCAGUUCCCGGGAAAGGCAGUUCUUACACUUUUCCUCUAGGUCUUAGAAGGAUCUCAUUUUCUCAAUGUCUCUUUCAGGUUGGCAGAAGGCGCAAGAAUGACACUUCCCUCAGAUGGGACAGGCAGGCUCUGUGGCCGCGUAAACACGCUGUAACCGAGUUCUUUGCUGAUUUUUACAGAGUUUCAUUAGCUCCCAAGAAGAACUGAGGGUGCUGAAUUGUCUAGUGCUGGCCUGCCCCACAAGAGCCUGGGGGCUCCUUCCCCCUAACCCAGAACUGGCAGCGCAGGGGGCGGAGAAGUGGGGGUGG
rnacentral:lncRNA from 1 species